AUAAAAUAGAUGGGGCAUUGAAUCUCAUCCUAACCAUUCAAAUAAGCCCAAUGAUAAAUACUCAUUUUUUUUGCUCAUCAUGGGCAGCAAACUAUAUACAUUUUACUGAAGGAAUACUUUGAUA